UACGUAGGUGGCAAGCGUUGUCCGGAAUUAUUGGGCGUAAAGCGCGCGCAGGCGGUCCCUUAAGUCUGAUGUGAAAGCCCACGGCUCAACCGUGGAGGGUCAUUGGAAACUGGGGGACUUGAGUACAGAAGAGGAAAGCGGAAUUCCACGUGUAGCGGUGAAAUGCGUAGAUAUCGAGAGGAACACCUGCGGCGAAGGCGGGUUGCUGGGCUGAUACUGACGCUGAGGAGCGAAAGCGUGGGGAGCGAACAGG
rnacentral:rRNA from 1 species